rnacentral:rRNA from 1 species
UUCGUAGGGCGCAAGCGUUGUCCGGAAUUAUUGGGCGUAAAGAGCUCGUAGGCGGCUUGUCACGUCGGAUGUGAAAGCCCGGGGCUUAACUCCGGGUCUGCAUUCGAUACGGGCUGGCUAGAGUGUGGUAGGGGAGAUCGGAAUUCCUGGUGUAGCGGUGAAAUGCGCAGAUAUCAGGAGGAACACCGGUGGCGAAGGCGGAUCUCUGGGCCAUUACUGACGCUGAGGAGCGAAAGCGUGGGGAGCGAACAGG